rnacentral:rRNA from 1 species
CUACGGGUGGCAGCAGUGAGGAAUAUUGCACAAUGGGGGGAACCCUGAUGCAGCAACGCCGCGUGGAGGAUGACGCAUUUCGGUGUGUAAACUCCUUUUAUAUGUCAAGAAAAUGACGGUAGCAUAUGAAUAAGCACCGGCUAACUCCGUGCCAGCAGCCGCGGUAAUACGGAGGGCGCAAGCGUUACUCGGAAUCACUGGGCGUAAAGGACGCGUAGGCGGGUUGGAAAGUCAGGUGUGAAAUCCUACAGCUUAACUGUAGAACUGCACUUGAAACUUCUAAUCUAGAGUAUGGGAGGGGGAGAUGGAAUUAGUGGUGUAGGGGUAAAGUCCGUAGAUAUCACUAGGAAUACCUAAAGCGAAGGCGAUCUCCUGGAACAUUACUGACGCUAAGGCGUGAAAGCGUGGGGAGCAAACAGGAUUAGAUACCCGCGUAGUC